CCGAUCCGUCCCGCAUGUACACAUUCACACACACAACAUAUACCGCCGGCCUGUGAUGUGAGGACAGCUGCAGCGGGGACCAAGUCAAUAAGUUAAACUUUCUAAUAUUAACGUUACCAGUUAACUAACGUUAGACUGUUGGAUGUUAACGGUAACGUUACCAGUUAACGCUCGCUAAGGAGCCGGUAGCCGACGUUUGUAUUUACAGUAAUAAGGCUGCAAUGAAUGAAUUUAGUCCGUACCAACAUGCUGCGUCUCUCCUCAUGACAGCAGCAUCUCCAGCAGCUCCUCCAACUUCAGAGCGCAGCUAGCAGGGCCGGUCCUAGCUUUUUGGAGGCCCUAUGCAAAAUUGUGUUUUUCGACCAAAUGCAUUUUUUCUUCACAGCAAUAUAAAAUAGAUAAUAGAAAGGGAACUAUGACCUUAUUAUAAAUGUUAUAUUUAAAUAAUCACAAUUAAUAAUUGUUUUUAUGCAAAUAACCACUACAGAUGUCAAUAACAAAGUACAGUACUGUGUAGGCUACCGUACCCUCACAUCCCCCAGAAACAGGGCUCCCCGGAAGCUACGGUGUCAUUUGAACACUGUAAUUUACCAUAUAUAUAAUAUCGAACAUUGAAUUACAUCAGAUCUAAAAUGUUAUUCCUUCAUUUAGCGCAUAGAUUUCAAAAGUGGCAGAUAAAA